rnacentral:rRNA from 1 species
CCUACGGGUGGCAGCAGUGAGGAAUAUUGGUCAAUGGACGAGAGUCUGACCCAGCCAAGUAGCGUGAAGGAUGACUGCCCUAUGGGUUGUAAACUUCUUUUAUAAAGGACUAAAACGAGGCACGUGUGCCUUUUUGCAUGUACUUUAUGAAUUAGGCUCGGCUAACUCGGUGCCAGAAGCCGCGUUAAUACUGAGGAUCCGAUCGUUGUCCGGUGUUCUUGGGUGUAACGGGAGCGUGGAUGGGUUGUUAAGUCAGUUGUGAACGUUCGCGGCUCAACCGUAAAAUUGCAAUUAAUACUGGCAGUCUUGAGUACAGUUGAGGUAGGCGGAAUUCGUGGUGUAGCGGUGAAAUGCUUAGAUAUCACGAAGAACCCCGAAUGCGAAGGCAGCUAACUAAACUGUGACUGACAUUGAUGCUCGAAAGUGUGGGUAGCAAACAGGAUUAGAUACCCGGGUAGUC